CUCCUGCCUCACAGUGCCCCGCCUUCACUGCGUCCUCUGCUGGACAGCAUCGUCAACGCCACAGGAAGACUACCGCUGCUGGCCAUCCUACCACCACGGGAGCUGCCUCCUUUCAGUGUUCAACCUGGCUGAGGCCAUGGAUGUCUGUGAGAGCCAUGCCCAGUGUCGGGCCUUUGUGGUCACCAACCAGACCACCUGGACAGGUCGGCAGCUGGUCUUUUUCAAGACUGGAUGGAGCCAAGUGGUCCCUGAUCCCAACAAGACCACAUAUGUGAAGGCCUCUGGCUGACCUAUCUGAGGGCUCGGCUGACCAGCUGACUAUCCUCAGCAGCUGGGCUUGCCUGUGGAGGGAGUGACUUGCACUGGCAGCGCUGCAUGUCACCUGGGAACCCCUGCAGACAAAGCUGACAUCCCAGACAGACCGAUGUGACCAGGACAAACGUGCAAUAAUGCCAAAUGUUAAAAUGUGAGUUUAUCAGCCUAGCUAUGGGACUGCUGGCUCCUAGUCCAGGAAUCAUGGGGGGAUGACUGCCUCUCCAACCCUCUGGGCUGUAAGCAAGCCCGGGCUAGUCUCCCCAGUGGGGGCUGUGCCCCUCCCUGGGACAGUUCCGUGGGCAGCCCCAUCACUGUGUUCAAUAGUGUGAGAAUGUAGCUAAAGCCCCUGCUGCUGCUGCUGCACAUGCCACAGCAGGCGGGGGAGCUGCGUGGGGACAAUCCAUCGUGGAGUGUUCUCUCAGCUUAGGUCUGGACAGGAGACUUGGCGGGGGAUGCUCCAGGAUGUGGGUG
rnacentral:sRNA from 1 species